rnacentral:rRNA from 1 species
UACGUGGGGGCCUAGCGUUGUCCGGAUUUAUUGGGCGUAAAGAGCUCGUAGGUGGUUUGUCGCGUUGUCCGUGAAAACUCACAGCUUAACUGUGGGCGUGCGGGCGAUACGGGCAGACUGGAGUACUGCAGGGGAGACUGGAAUUCCUGGUGUAGCGGUGGAAUGCGCAAAUAUCAGGAAGAACACCCGUGGCGAAGGCGGCUCUCUGGGACGGUACUGACGCUGAGACGCGAAAGCGUGGGGAGCGAACAGG